rnacentral:lncRNA from 1 species
ACAACUGCAGCGAGAGAAGAGGCUGGCAGCAUGGGUGGCAGGAGGCUUGGCAGCCUCACAGGAUGCCUGCAAAUACCUUUCACUUAUGCAGUUUGGCAGUGCAGUGGUGCAUGGAGACAGCGUCUUGGGCCUGGCACCCACAGCCACUUAGGAAGUUGGAGUCCUGGAGAGGAGAACACAGAACGUGGACAACUAGCUGUCAAAUUGCAGUAAAAGUUGGUUCAGGAAAAGUGGAAGCUACCCAGAUGUCUACCAAUUGAGAUGAACCAUCCAAUCUCCUGCCUCGAGUAUUGAAGCCUGGCUACUGUGACUGUGGGGAAGGGAUUAAUGGUCUCAGCAUUCAGCCAACAACAAUACCUGCUCACUAUAAGCAUUCAGAAAACAGAAAAGUUUCAAGAAGCAGGAAGAAAAGACUCACCUAUGAUCCCAACACCCAGAGAUAAGAGUCCUGAAGCUCAGAUGACACAGCUGAUAACAGGGAAGCCAGGACAGAAUCUCAUUGUUUUGAACACCAAAACCCGUUCCCUUGACAACUUGGCUAUACUACACUAUUCGAAUGUUGCAGAUACUGUGGUCACAUUUCAAAGGCCAGAUCUUUCCCAGGGCUUAAGCUGUUCCUUGGAUACUUUUGCUGAUGGUUUACACAUCUUCUUCCCACAUUAUAUUGUAACUUUCUU